AGUGAACGCUGGCGGUAGGCCUAACACAUGCAAGUCGAACGGCAGCACAGUAAGAGCUUGCUCUUACGGGUGGCGAGUGGCGGACGGGUGAGGAAUACAUCGGAAUCUACUUUUUCGUGGGGGAUAACGUAGGGAAACUUACGCUAAUACCGCAUACGACCUACGGGUGAAAGCAGGGGAUCUUCGGACCUUGCGCGAUUGAAUGAGCCGAUGUCGGAUUAGCUAGUUGGCGGGGGAAAGGCCCACCAAGGCGACGAUCCGUAGCUGGUCCGAGAGGGUGAGCGGCCCAACGUGGAAUGAGAAGACGCCCAGGCCUCUACGGGAGGCAGCCGUAGGGGAGUUUGGGAAAUGGGGGGAAAGCUUACUCAGGCCCUACGCGGUGGGGAAGAAGGGCUUCGGGUUGUAAAGCCCUUUUUUAUGGGAAGAAAAGGUGUGAGAUUGGAAACCUCAUUUUCUGACGGUACCUAAAGAGAAAGCACCGGCUAACUUCGUG
rnacentral:rRNA from 1 species